rnacentral:lncRNA from 1 species
GUCGGGCUGGCUGAGCCACCCGGCUCGGCCCGGUGGCCCCAGGGGCCUCCACCCGGGCCUCCGAGAAGAGCGGGGACGGGACCGCCCGGCUCGCCCGCCUCCCUCCCCAGCCCGCGCGGUCGGCCGCGGCCACCUUAGGCCUUCCCGGGCGGCGGGACGGACAGACGGACGGGCCCGCGGGGCUGAGGGGCGGCCGGGGAGGGAGCGGGCGUGCGCGGCUGGCCGGGGACGGCGCUUUUUCACCGUUAGCGUCGUUAUGUGGUUACCUGUGCGCGGCAGGGCUCCCCAGCUCCUACUCCCUGAUCCUCCUCCCCUCCUUCCUCUCUCUCUCUCUGUUUCUCACUCUCUCGCUCUCUGUGUGUCUCCCCCUCAGUCUGCCGGGCUCUCGUGGAACCUGAAGGGCGGGAGGUGGCGGCGGUGACCGGCAGGCACGUGACCACGCUCGCGCCGUCACGGCGUCCGUCCGCCUGCCUCCCUCCCGGCGCUCCACCUCUGCUAACCCGGGGCCGGUGCGCAGGCGCGCGGCCGGCGGGGCGAGCCGGCGGGCGGGGCUCGGGGCCGCCCGGGGCUGGGGUCUGGGCUGGGACGGAGCGACGGGGUCGGACCGCGCGUAGGGCCUCCGCCCUUCCUGUGCGGCCACCGCAAGUCCCGGCCGCCGGCUUCCCAGAGUGGGGCUGGCGAGCAGCGAAGUCUGCUCGGGGAAGGUCCUGGGAGUCUGGCGCUCCUGCCCAGGGACACCUGUAAAUGGCCUUCCCGUCGCCACUGGGCCGCAGCUGUGCAGUGUCUCUGCAUGUUUGUGAACAGUUGUUAGCUGAAGUUGCAGUCCAUCUGUGUUUGCAGCCUCCAGGGGUUGGUAGCAAAGUUUAUAAUAUCAGAUAGACUGCCAGAUCCUGACAGUGACCCAAAGUCUCCAAAGAAGAUCAUGAGGCACCCCAGUUCCUGCACCUGGACCAGUGAGCGAGAUGCUCAGAUAUGAUACCUGCUGCCUGCCAGAACCUGGCUAAGACUGUGGACAAAGCUGCUGGACACUGGAAAAUUGAUUGCACCCCCUUUGCCUAGACAAAACAAGGUUUCUGCUUCUGGCAGACACAUCUGAGUACCAGUUGCUGACUACAGACUGUUCCGAAAUAGACUGUGAGCCCUGGACUUGCUGUGGAUGUGAACCAGUCCAGCUGAUGUGGACACCCCCUGUCUCUGCAACAGAGUCUGCCAACAGCCCCUGAUGGAUUCCCCAUUGCCUAAAUUCCUUUUUUAUUUAUUUAUUUAUUUAUUUAUUUAUUUAUUUAUUUAUUUAUUUGCUUUUGGCUAGCAUUUCAACCUUCUGGGGUCCCUAACUUGUCCCAAAGUCAGCAGGAAGUAGUAUGGGAAAGAAUAUGCCGCCCAUUUUCCCUGGUUAAAAUGCUAAGUCAGAAGGAACUCCCUUACAAGGGGAUGCCAAUAUCUCUCACUCCCUGAUGGGGGCGCUAGAGAGACAGAAAUUCCAUGAUUGGAAUUUUCAAAAAAAAUGGGGGAAUGAAGGGAUCAGCUCCCCAUUUCAGCAGCCAUAACAGCUGAACACGUGCUUGUCUGACCUUGUCCUAGUCACUAAAAUGUCAGAUGCCUGCCUCAUGGCAAGGAACCAAUCAGAAGUUAGCUGGUGGCGCUAUGCUUUACGGCUCUUGGUGUACUUUACAGACAAGUGCACAGCAAUGACGUGCAGAGCAUAGCAACCACCUUGGGAGGGCCUAUGGGCCAUAACAACCACUUGGCCAAUCAACACAGGGCAAGUCUUUCCUAGCCAUCCACCAUGGCGGGUGGAUGAAAGGCCCGAGCUAACAUGGGGUUAGCUUGUUAAACAUCAAUAAAGCCUCGUGCAGUUUGCAUCAAGCUUUCGAAU